CUCUACACAUGUGUCCCUAGUCCAUAUCUUGCGAGCUUUUUUAAAAAAAAAUAUAUAUUACAUUUAUUAAAAUUCGUUCUUUCAAGUUGUGUUUCAGUUUCGCUUCUGAGAAAAGAGAACGACGACAGGAUAUAAAAUAAAGUAAAAGAAAGUAAAGUAAUCUCUAAUUAAAGUAAACCACUAGAUCUGAUUAAAGGAUUUUUGUGUUUCAGGACGAGGCAUGUGAAGGGUGGAAUAAUAACGCGUAUUUGCGUGGAAGAUCAUUUUUAAAUCCUACUCAUCGUUCUACUGGUCUGGCCCCGCCCACUCAGUCGCGUUCAUAACGUCCUGCUCACUUUUAUUAUCACGCACCCUUCCUGGACCAAGACGGGAAAUCCAUAAAUACUUUAUCAUCGAACUUUCACUUUCCAGAGCUCGCAGACUGGAAGAAGGUCGCCUGGUGAAGGUCCAGCCUGGUGAUGGCCGUGAGAGCCGUGGAGACGUGCAGGUCUCUUCAGGACGAUCUGCUGCUUCUGCUCCCGAGCAGGGAGACGAGGAGACCGCUCCGACCCGCGGGAGACGCGUCCUCACAACGCUUCAUGAAGCCCACACUGUCCCGCCAGACCGGGACAGAACCUCUUCAACCCAGUUUAGAGAUGGACAACUGGAGUUUGGAGGAGUCUCAGCAGUUCAUUCUUAAAUGGGGAGAAGAAAUAACAAAUAUCCCAUAUUUCAAAAUGAAGGCGGCCAGCAGGAGGGCAUCAAGGUCCAAAGAAGAAGAUGUGAAGAACCACAGCCAGAAGGUCCGGCUGGAGAGGGCACAGCAGACCUUGUCUAAGUGGACAAGGGCCAACCUGGGCUCCAGGCCGGAGAACUCGGUGUGUCCAGGUGAGGACGUGAGCGCGGUGCUUCAGGACCUCCGCGAACGAUGGAAGUUGGGCCGACUGCGCAACCUUCUACCGGUGAUGGACGUCCUGAUGCAGAUGGCGUUACGGAGCCCAGGUUAAAUGUGAAACCGCGGCUCGCGCUCACACGGCCCGCUGCUAGAAGACCAUGCGAGUCUGCAGUCUCCACCCGAUGGAAUUGUUGGGCCCUCGUGUCGUGCAUUUAACUGCAAACUGUAACAUACUGUGGAUUGCUUCAUAUUUGUACAUUGAUGGGCGAAUGUAUAGUCGUGCGGCAACCUACCAUGGGAAAAAUUAAAAGGAAUAUUAAAAUGCAGCAAUAUUACAAUAUUUCAUUAUAUUUACAAAUAUUUAGGGGAAUAAAUCAAGCUGAAAAUAUGAUUCA
rnacentral:lncRNA from 1 species